CCUACGGGAGGCAGCAGUGGGGGAUAUUGCACAAUGGGGGAAACCCUGAUGCAGCGACGCCGCGUGGGUGAAGAAGUAUUUCGGUAUGUAAAGCCCUAUCAGCAGGGAAGAAAGAAGACGGUACCUGACUAAGAAGCCCCGGCUAACUACGUGCCAGCAGCCGCGGUAAUACGUAGGGGGCGAGCGUUAUCCGGAUUCACUGGGUGUAAAGGGAGCGUAGACGGCCGUGCAAGCCAGGAGUGAAAGCCCGGGGCCCAACCCCGGGACUGCUCUUGGAACUGUGCGGCUAGAGUGCGGGAGGGGCAGGCGGAAUUCCUGGUGUAGCAGUGAAAUGCGUAGAUAUGUGGAAGAACACCGAUGGCGAAGGCAGCCUCCUGGGACGCAACUGACGCUCAUACACGAAAGCGUGGGGAGCAAACAGGAUUAGAUACCCUUGUAGUC
rnacentral:rRNA from 1 species